UGGGGAAUAUUGGACAAUGGGCGAAAGCCUGAUCCAGCCAUGCCGCGUGUGUGAAGAAGGUCUUCGGAUUGUAAAGCACUUUAAGUUGGGAGGAAGGGCAGUUACCUAAUACGUGAUUGUUUUGACGUUACCGACAGAAUAAGCACCGGCUAACUUCGUGCCAGCAGCCGCGGUAAUACGAAGGGUGCAAGCGUUACUCGGAAUUACUGGGCGUAAAGCGUGCGUAGGUGGUCGUUUAAGUCUGUUGUGAAAGCCCUGGGCUCAACCUGGGAACUGCAGUGGAAACUGGACGACUAGAGUGUGGUAGAGGGUAGCGGAAUUCCUGGUGUAGCAGUGAAAUGCGUAGAGAUCAGGAGGAACAUCCAUGGCGAAGGCAGCUACCUGGACCAACACUGACACUGAGGCACGAAAGCGUGGGGAGCAAACA
rnacentral:rRNA from 1 species